GACGAACGCUGGCGGCGUGCUUAACACAUGCAAGUCGAACGGUAAGGCCCUUCGGGGUACACGAGUGGCGAGCGGGUGAGUAACACGUGGGUGAUCUGCCCUGCACUUCGGGAUAAGCCUGGGAAACUGGGUCUAAUACCGGAUAGGACCAUGCGCUUCCCGGUGUGGGGUGGAAAGCUUUUGCGGUGUGGGAUGGGCCCGCGGCCUAUCAGCUUGUUGGUGGGGGGAUGGCCUACCAAGGCGACGAUCAGUAGUUGGUCUGAGAGGAUGACCGGCCACACUGGGACUGAGAUACGGCCCAGACUCCUACGGGAGGCAGCAGUGGGGAAUAUUGCACAAUGGGCGCAAGCCUGAUGCAGCGACGCCGCGUGAGGGAUGACGGCCUUCGGGUUGUAAACCUCUUUCAGCACCGACGAAGCGCAAGUGACGGUAGGUGCAGAAGAAGGACCGGCCAACUACGUGCCAGCAGCCGCCGUAA
rnacentral:rRNA from 1 species